UGUCCAGGGGCGGGAAUCGAACCCACACCCUUCUGCUUACCGGGCAGGUGCCUUGAAGGGUGUGGGUUCGAUUCCCGCCCCUGGAC